UACGUAGGGUGCGAGCGUUUAAUCGGAAUUACUGGGCGUAAAGCGUGCGCAGGCGGUUUUGUAAGUCUGUCGUGAAAUCCCCGGGCUUAACCUGGGAAUUGCGAUGGAGACUGCAAGGCUAGAAUCUGGCAGAGGGGGGUAGAAUUCCACGUGUAGCAGUGAAAUGCGUAGAGAUGUGGAGGAACACCGAUGGCGAAGGCAGCCCCCUGGGUCGAAGAUUGGACG
rnacentral:rRNA from 1 species